UCCCUCUCAGGAUUACAAAUGGAGAAUUUCCAGUACUCUGCCAAUCUCGGCUAGGGGAGGAAGAGUCAAGCAGAGGCAUUUCCAGUCCAUUCCUAGCUUGGCCAGUGGCUAGCGAGUGGAAGGCAAUCUGCUACAAGU